rnacentral:lncRNA from 1 species
AAAGUUUGGUUUGCUACCGUAAGCAGAAAAAAAAUAGGUGUGAUUAGUGAUUUCCAGUUUCAUUGGAAACUGAAUAUGUUUUUUGUUUUGUUUUGUUUUGUUUUUGAGAUGUAGUCUCACUCUGUCGCCAGGCUGGAGUGCAGUGGCGCAAUCUCGGUUCAUGGCAACCUCCACCUCCCAGGUUCAAGUGAUUCUCCUGCCUCAGCCUCCCGAGUAGCUGGGACUACUCGGGCACCCGCCACCAUGCCCGGCUAAUUGUUUGUAUUUUUAGUAGAGACAGGGUUUCACUGUGUUAUCCAGGAUGGUCUUGAUCUCUUGAGCUCAUGAUCCACCCGCCUCGGCCUCCCAAAGUGCUGGGAUUACAGGCGUGAGCCACCGCACCCAGCCGGAAACUGAAUAGGUAUUACAAGGAAGGAACAGUCUCUGUUUUCCUGAACUUCCUCCCGUUCAAGUUAAACUAGAGAAGAUCAUGCCAGGAGAAAAAUAAGAAAAACAUGCUCUCUCUUCUCUAAUGAUCGGACAGACUCCUAUUCCAAAACAGAAGAUCUCAACUCUGGAAGAGAACAGAUGCCUUCCACUGUGUGAGUGUAAAUUCAGAGCCUUCCAACUUCACAUUCUCAUCGACAAAUUAUUUAAACAUGACGGCUCUUUUAUAAAGAGUGUUAUCUUAAAAGGAAAGGAAUCAAAGGGCUGAACAUGUUAAAGGUGAAUUUAAAAGCCUGGUUGCUGUUGAUGGUGAUGGCCCAAAUGGGAUAAAGCUGGCUCCCAUGUUAAGUGGCUGCAUCCAUGAAUAUUCAUGCAACACUGUUAUGAGAACACUCACACCACAGAGGGGACCUUCAUGGAUGAACCCCCAGAGUCAGACCCCCAGGCCCCUAUCCUGGCAGCUCCCCGACGCUGGUUCCCAGCCUUAAUUGUCUUGUCUUUCAGUGAGAAAAUAAAAGCUGCACCUGUUUUCCUC